UACAGAGGUCUCAAGCGUUGUUCGGAUUCAUUGGGCGUAAAGGGUGCGUAGGUGGCGCGCUAAGUCAGGUGUGAAAUUUCGGAGCUUAACUCCGAAACUGCAUUUGAUACUGGCGUGCUUGAGGACUGGAGAGGAGACUGGAAUUCAUGGUGUAGCAGUGAAAUGCGUAGAGAUCAUGAGGAAGACCAGUGGCGAAGGCGGGGUCUCUGGACAGUUCCUGACACUGAGGCACGAAGGCCAGGGGAGCAAACGGG
rnacentral:rRNA from 1 species